rnacentral:rRNA from 1 species
UACAUGGGGUGCAAACGUUGCUCGGAAUCAUUGGGCGUAAAGCGCGCGUAGGCGGUUGCUUAAGUCGGAUGUGAAAGCCCUCGGCUUAACUGAGGACGUGCAUCCGAAACUGAGCAGCUAGAGUACGAAAGAGGGUCGCGGAAUUCCCGGUGUAGAGGUGAAAUUCGUAGAUAUCGGGAGGAACACCGGUGGCGAAGGCGGCGACCUGGGUCGAGACUGACGCUGAGGCGCGAAAGCGUGGGGAGCAAACAGG